GAUGCUGACAGAUUUUAUGAGGCCACGUAGUGCGCGUUCGCUCACACGAUGACUAAUUGACUCACUGUGAAUGAAACACGCGUGUUCCUCAUGAGCCAAUUAAACAAAACCUGCAGGACAAAUAAACGCAAUUGAAAUAAAAUUGCCCUGUUUUUUUUUUUUUUAUGGAUGGUGGCUUGGUGCGUCUUUGGGGAACUGCCAAGGGAGGGAGACGCUGUCGUUUAGGGAGGUAGACAGUUGGGUUUGUGGCCGUGGUUUUCGGGUCAGAUUGAGGCUAUGUAACCGUGGUUGGUAGGGCUGAGUUGACUAAGGCGGUUCGUUGCUACUGUCGUGGGAGAGAGGUUGCUUGGAUGCUUGUUUAUGAAGUUGGAGAGGGCUGGGGAGAUUACGGGUCACGACUGGUUCGGUUUGAUUUUGGUGAUUUGGGGCUGAUUCUCGGUGGCUGUAUGGUGUUGGGUUGUAAAUGGGUCAGCUGGGUCUAGUGGUGAGUUCCAUUGCAAUCAGGUCUAAGUUGAUGAUGGGAGAGAAGGAGGUGGUGGUCGUAUUGCUCAGGUCUGGUGUUGGGUCGAUCCCGGGUAGAAAGGAGGCUUAAUUACGGGCUGGUUCCUGGUAUUUUGAGGGUUUUUGAAGGUGAUGGCUACUGGGUUAAUAAAGGAUGAAGGCUUAAUUGGUUAUGGCUGCUGUUUUUUUUUUUCCUUGAGAGGCUCUCUGUCCCCAUGUUGUCCCUCUGGUUUGUUGUCUUGUCCCUCUGGUUUGUUGUCUCGAGAGGCUGGUUCUUGGUGGUUGUCUGUCUCGGGCUAGAGGAUCUGCUAACAGUGCGUUGCAACUUGGAGGGAGGGAUAUUGAGUAGUAUAAAUAUGAGAAGCCUUCACAACAAAAAAUUGCAUUCUCCAAAAGCUACAGGUAUACUGGUAAUUAUACAGUACGUAUAGAGUUGUCAUUAAUUCUAAAAUUAAUGGCAAUCAAGAAUCGUAAUGUUACUGUAGAUGGCGAACGUGCAAUGACCAUGGGGCAGUUCAGGGCUUGGAUGAAAACAAUCGAUGGUGAUAAAGAUGGCAAGAUAAGCAAGGAUGAACUCUCCGACGCCGUCCGUGGCAACGGAGGAUGGUUUGCUGGUUGGAAGGCCAAGAGGGGGGUAGGGUCAGCUGACUCCAAUGGCAAUGGCUUCGUCGAUGAGACUGAAAUCGGUAACCUAGUGGAGUUUGCUCAAAAGCACCUGGGUAUCAAAAUCAUUUAACCAUUUAAAAUUGCAUAUGCCUUUGUAUUAUUAUUAUUAUCGUGCCUGGCUGGUGUGUAAUAAGAAGAAAAAAUGAAUAUUAUUAUUAUUAUUAUUAUCGUGCCUGGCUGGUGUGUAAUAAGAAGAAAAAAUGAAGAAUUUAUAUCAUUACAAUCUGUUUUCAAACAAGUGAUAUCUUUGUGUAGUGCGCAAUGGACACUUCCUAGUCCAAGACUUGUUGUAUGUGUAAUUUGUGUAUCAAAAUAUUAAGUUUAAGAAAAAAUAUAAAUGUGUUGAACGAGUUUUACCGUAUAA